UCCCUGGAGGUCUAGUGGUUAGGCCACAGCGCUCUCACUAUCACGGCCCAGGUUUGAUUCCUGGCCAGGGAA